rnacentral:lncRNA from 1 species
UAUUUCCACACUAAUUGCAAUUUCUGGUCGGCUUCAGUUCAGACUCAGCCUUGCGCGCCUGGAAGUCAUUCCUGGCGGGCUUCCUCCACCUUCUUUUUCUUGGCCAGACGUGGCCAGUCAUAAACUGACAGGGAAAAACAGCUCUCCAAAUGAUUUUGGUGUCUUGUCUAGGGUUAUUAUUGAGCUUGGGACAAAUCCCAAACCGGCCUCUGCUGCUGCAGAUGCCGACCUGAACUAGCUCCUCUCCACUUUAACUUCACCUUCAUCCUGGUUUGCUGAUUACAGAUGAAUUCAUUUUUCAUCGGACUCUCCAGGCUGCCCCACAAACGAACACCUACAUGAAGGCCAGAGCCAGGCUGGGUUUGUCAGGCAGUCAGGCCCUGUGGGAACUGGAGGCCUCUCCUCCAGGACUGGACUCACCCUCCCAUCUGAAAGGCCCUUUAUUCUAGGACUUAAUGAGGCAAAAGCAGUUAAGUGCAUGGCUAUGGAACCCACCAGAUGUGAAUGGAGAAUGGGGAAUUUGCAGGGUGGAGAAGAGUUCAAGGGAUGAAAAGAAGGAAUUCUGGACAGACUAAGCAUGGAUGUGGGAAUAACACGCCACGUCACGUCUAUUGACAGACGGGUUUCCCUCAAGCUGCACUCCAUGCUUCUCAUGGCAGAGGCAGGGAGUUUGUGUUUUUAGGACUUUAGCGUGAAACUGAGAAUCAUCUUGUGUUUCGAGCAUAGAGAUAACGAUGAAAGAACACAAAGAAAUGAUAAAUGCUUGAGGUGAUGGAUACCCUGUUUACCCUAAUGUGAUUAUUACACAUUGUGUGCCUGUAUCAAAAUAUCUCAUGUACCCCAUAAAUAGAUACACCUACUACGGACCAUAAAAAUUAAUUUUUAAAAAGAAAUACUGAUGAAAGCACAGAUUUUUUUAAGGAUGGGAAUGGGAGAAGUUUCAGUGUAUGUCAAGGCUCACAAACCUUAUCUGAAAGAGACCGCCGAGGCAUGUGUGUUCCUGUCCUUCCCUACCCCUUCCUAUCCCUGAGCCACACCUCUGGCCUUCCAUGAAAUUCAAGAUUGCAAAAUCAUUGAAUUCCAAACGGGUCCAUUUUCUGCUGGGUGCGAUUGGUAGUUGGUCUGUAUGAUGACAGCUAAAGGAAAAAAUGCAAUUAUUCAAAAUUAUGAGGAAAUCCAGGCACUGUGGCUCAUGCCCGUAAUCCCAGCUACUCUGGUGGCUGAGGCAGGAGAAUUGCUUGAGGCCAGAAGUUCAAGACUAGCCUGGCCAACAUAGGAGACCCUGUCUCUAAAUAAAAAUAAAUUUAAAAAUAAAAAAUAAAAUAAUGAAGGAAAAAAUGGUUGGAAAACAAAGGAUGCAGACCAACUCACUUCAUGCCAUGUUCCUUCUUAAGGUGAGAGACAGGUCCUAGAUGAGAAGAAUUUUAUUCACAUAAGACUGACCACUACACUAUAAUAAAAGAGUUAAUUUUUAUGUUCAGUUUUUUAUUCUCUCAGUUGCCAGAGAUGGGGGGAAAUCACAUUAAGUGCUGGCAGCCAGGUUUUGUCAUGAGAACAAGGCAUCGAAGGGCGAAGUCCGUGAAUGAUCUUGGGAAAUGUGUGUCACCCUGACCUUUAGAGACGACUGCAUCCUGAUUGGCUGCCUAUGCCGCCCUCUCCCCGGGAGUCGGGAGGGUUGUAAAUACAGAAGAAAUGGAAAGGCAGGUAAUCAAACAAGGCCGCCGCAGUACGCGGCGCUGGGAAGGGGAAGGGGGGCGCUUCGGGCUUGAAUAGGGUCCUCCGGGUGGGCUGGACCGUAAUCCCCAGUGGAGUGCGCAGGCUUGCGGAAGCACGGGAGGGAGUGCGGAGAGCACAGGAGGGCCCACGUGUGCCCCGUGGGCGUCGUCCGAGUCCCCCCGCCCCCCCCGCCCCACACACCGCAGGACAGGUAGGGGCGGGGGUGGGUGUGCCGGAGGGGUGGGCGUGCUGGGGGGCUGGGCAUGCUAGGGGGAAAGGGGUCUGGGCAUCCCAGGGGCGGGGGCUCUAGGCGAGGCCCCCAAGGAAGGAAGCCCCUCCCCCGCACCCCUGCUGAGUGCGCGUCCAGGUGGAUUUGGGGAGCAGGUGGCGCGGAUGUCUCCGCCGCCGUCCAGGUGGGCGACUAAGAGUCCUCACCCAGGAAACGGCGUUUCUGCUCCACGGGAGACCAUCCCGAGCGCCGCCUCGGGUCCGGACAGGCCCCGCAGGUCUCGUCCCCCUAGGCCUCUGUAGUGUGACCAGGAGAACGGAUUCUCCUCGGGCGAUCUCCAUCCAGGUCCUGGGGCCGGCAGCCGCGGCAGGGGAACCUCCUGCGCUCGGGAGGAAGCACAGAUUCCAGAGGAGCAGUAAAAUGGCAAAUCAUGCCAAGCUUCGGGGUGGAGCUGAGGGGGCCCUGACUCCGCCUCGCAGCCCGGGCUUCGGGGUGGGGCGCCUAAUUAGUGUUUGCGCAUUGGCGGCCGGCCGGCUCGGUAACCACGGCGACCGCGCGGCCCCGCCCAGCCCCGGCCCAGUAUCCCCGCCCCCCGCAUUCCCCAUUGGCCGCUGGCGCUUCCCAGCCUACCAAUCACCGACCGCAUCUCCUUACAAAGGGUAGAAAGACACCGCCUGGCAGAAGCCACGCCUCGCACCAGGAAGCCCGGCUGACGGCUUAAUUGAGAUUAACAUAAACUCCAAUCAGAGAGGAAAACGCGGACAGGAUUACCUAAUCGUAUAUGCUUAAGGGAGUACCACGAGAGCGCGAGCAGCCUCGGCAGGGCAGAACAGGCCCUCGGCAGGUUCUUCAUCCUGGAUGAAUCAGGCCCAGAGACGCCAGGCGACUUGAGCAAGGCCACUCAGCUGUCAAGAGCCCGGGUAGAAAUCAGUGCCCUUUCUGCUACACCAUUCUGAACGGCUCCAGCCACCUGCUUGCCUCAAGGAUCCCAGUUUGCUCUGUCUUCCCUUUCUCUUCUUCCUUCUCCUCUUACAAUGUUCAAUAAUAAUUGGCAAUGUACAAAUCAGACUCUCAGGACUUCAGAGGCAAGGACCAGGCUGAAUUUUUCUGAUCCUAGCAAAGGUGGAUUCCUUGAAGAAAGCUGCCUUUCAAUCUAAAGUUCUGAAGGAUUCCAGUGAUUUUGCAACCUGCAGGCUUUGGCUUGGAAGGACUUACAGCCGAUUUCACAAACUUUCAAAGCCUUAAGGAGCAGUGAUGGAGCAUUGGUCAGCAGUUUCGUGAAUGACGCUACAUUCUCUUAUUUUCCAAAUGACCUAACCCCACAGCACAGAAUCUGCUGGAUUUGGUGUCUGUAAAGACUUACCAGCCAGGCACAGUGCCUCAUUCCUGUAAUCCCAGCACUUUGGGAGGCCAAGGAGGGAGGACCACUGGAGGCCUGGAGUUCAAGAGCAGCCUGGGCAAGAUAAUGAGACCCUAUCUCUACAAAAAAAUUAAAAACUAUCCAAGUGUGGUGGUGCAUGCCUGUAGCCCCAGCUACUUCAGAGGCUGAGGCAAGAAGAUUACUUGAACCCGGGAGUUUGAGGCUGCAGUGAGCUAUAAUCACAGCACUGCACUGCAGCCUGGGCCACAGAGUUGAGACCCUAUCUAUCAGGAAGGAAGGAAGGAAGGAAGGAAAGAAGGAAGGAAGGAAGGAGGGAGGGAGGGAAGGAGGGAGGAAGAAAGGAAUGAAGGAAGAGGACUUCCAUCCAAGGAUAGAUUUCCUCAUUUUACGAAGUCCACCUCAUUCCCUUUACCUCUUUCUUGGGCAACCUCCUCUACCCUAGCAUCAAGCAUUUAUCAGAUUCCUAUAAUUUCAUCAAAUGCAGGCACUUAUCAGGUUUACAAAAAAUAGUCUAUCUUGGAGAGCUUCCAAUGUGAUGUUGAGGCAGAGCAACUGUGUUUAAGGGCAACUCAAGACUAGCCCACCUGAAAGGUUCCCACACCCAAACUAACCUGCAGGUACAAAUGAAGUCACAUCAGUUAUGAAUACCCAGGUUUUGAUGACUCACAGCCCCCACCAACAAAACUGCAGGACCUUGAGGGCCUCCCACCCUGCAGUGGGCUCAGGGGCUCACUCCCUUGUGCUAAUAGAGUCUUUCUCUGCAGCUACCUGUGGUCCAGGGCCUGAAAAACCACUUAGAGUCAUCACUUCCCCAUUGCCUGUAAUCCCAGCACCACUUUGGGAGGCCAAGGAGAGAGGAUCCUGAGCAGCUGGGGCAACAGGCAUGCACUACCACACUUGGAUAAUUUUUAAUGAUUUAGUAAAGAGGUGGUCUCGCUAUCUUGCCCAGCCUAUGAAUGCUGCCCUAUUGCUUCAUUGCACCGCUCCUUAAAGAAAGUUUGUGAAAUCAGAUCUGAGUCCUUCCGAGUCAAAGCCUGCAGGUUGCAAAAUCACUGGAAUCCUUCAGAACUUUAGAUUGUGGCCAUAUGAAAGGCAGCUUUCUUCAAGGAGAGGUGGGGUAGCGGAGUAGUCACUUAUGCCUUGGUCUGGCUGGGUGAAUCUGCAUUUUUACACAAACAAUAGGGCAGAGGAAGCAAUCAGAUGUGCAUUUGUUUCAGAUGAGCCGAGGGAUGACUUUGAGUUCUGUCCUUUGUCCUGCACCUGUGAAGAUAAGCUAUCAAUUUACAUUGCCAGAGUGAAAUUCAACAGAACUGUUUUAGUGUAAAGAUCUUGAGGCCCACAAGGAACUUCCUAGUAGGCAAAUUGUGAGGGAGAUAUGAAGAUUUUUAAAAAUCUUUGUAACUGUCUUAUUUAGGAAUAGAAUGAGAGGCAGGUGUGCCUGAUGCAGUUCCCAGCUUGAUUUUUCCCUUUGGCUUAGUGAUUUGGGGGUCCUGAGAUUUAUUUGCCUUUCACAUUGGCAUGAGGAGAAAAAAAUCUAUUGAAUUGUCUUGAGUAGGCAUCCCUCUUCUGGACUUUAAUUUGUGCAGGAGGGGACACUGGUAUUGGUUAUCCCACCCAGCCAAGCUUGGGGUAUAAUUGAUUUUUGGUCUUUGGGUUUCUAAAUCAGUCUUAUGACCUCAUUAAAAAAUGAAUGAGGGCCAGGUGCAGUGGCUCAUGCCUGUAAUCCUAGCACUUUGGGAGGCCAAGAUGGAUGGAUCGUUUGAGGUCAGGAGUUCAAGACCAGCCUGGCCAACAUGGCGAAACCCUGUCUCUACUGAAAAAAUAUAAAAAUUAGCUGGGCAUCAUGGCACAUGCCUGUAAUCCCAGCUACUCAGGAGGCUGAGGCAGGAGAAUCACUUGAACCCAAGAGGUAGAGGCUACAGUGAGCCCAGAUUACGCCGCUGUACUCCAGCCUAGGUGACAGAGCAAGACCUUGCCUCAAAAAGAAAAAACAAAAGACAAAACAAACAAACAAAGAAACAAACUGAAUGAGUCCCCCCAGAACCUCUGGGCAGGUGAAAAAAAAAAUUAGUUUUUAGACCUACAAACUUAUGAAUCAGAUUCUGACCAAAUUCCUGCCUAUGAGGUCCUACAAGCAGUAGGUCAGAGUCUUCCCAAACCCCUCUGAGCCAUAGCCAGCCAUAUGCAUCAAAUGGUUUUCAUGUUUGUUGAAUGAACACAUGGAUGAAUGAAUGAGCAAAUGAAAAAACAGAUUACUGGCUGGUUGGCUAGUUGAAUAGAUGAACAGAAGGAUGAAAAGAACCAUUUGAUAUAAUACUUGUCCCCUGAAAAUCUCAAGCUGAAAUGUGAUCCCCAGUGUUGGCAGUAGGGCCUGGUGGGUGGUGUUUGGGUCAUGGGGACAGACUCCUUAUGAAUGGCUUGGUGGCCUCCCUGUCGUAAUGAGUGAGUUCUUGCUCUAUUUGUUCACACAAGAGCUGGUUGUUUAAAAAUGCCUGGCCAAACAUUGUUGGUGGGAGUGUAAAUUAGUUCAACCAUCGUGGAAGACAGUGUGGUGAUUCCUCAAGGAUCUAGAACUAGAAAUACUAUUUGAUCCAGCAAUCCAAUUACUGGGUAUAUACCCAAAGGAUUAUAAAUCAUUCUGCUAUAAAGACACAUGCACACAUAUGUUUAUUGCAGCACUAUUUACAGUAGCAAAGACUUGGAACCAACCCAAAUGCCCAUCAAUAACAGACUGGAUAAAGAAAAUGUAGCACAUAUACACCAUGGAAUACUAUGCAGCCAUAAAAAAGAAUGAGUUCAUGUCCUUUGCAGGGACAUGGAUGAAGCUGGAAGCCAUCAUUCUCAGCAAACUAACACAGGAACAGAAAACCAAACACUGCAUGUUCUCACUCAUAAAUGGGAGUUGAACAAUGAGAACACAUGGACACAGGGAGGGGAGUUGUGGCCUGUUGUAGGGUGGGGGGCAAGGGGAGGGAGAGCAUUAGGACAAAUACCUAAUGCAUGUGGGCUUAAAACCUAGGUGAUGGGUUGAUAGGUGCAGCAAACCACCAUGGCACAUGUAUACCUAUGUAACAAACCUGCAUGUUCCGCACAUGUAUCCCAGAACUUAAAGUAAAUUAAAAAAAAAUGCCUGGCAGUGUCUCUUGCUCCCUUUCACACCAUGUGGCACACCUGCUCCCCUUCCCCUUCUGCCAUGAGUAAAAACUUCCUGAGGCCUCACUAGAGGCCAAGCAGAUGCUGGAGCCAUGCUUGUACAGUCUGCAGAACUGUGAGCCAAAUAAA